rfam:Gossypium raimondii chromosome 5, whole genome shotgun sequence.
GAAUCUUGUUGGGAGGGCAUUUUCAUAAUAACUCUUUAAAUCUCUCUCAUGCCUCAUACAGAGGUUAAUCGUCCAUUUUCUGAAAAGAAGUGAUCUCAUUUCGCAACUU